UUGGUUUUAGCUCAGAGGUAGAGCAGCUGACUGAUCCUCAGCGGGUCGCAGGUUCGACUCCUGCACACCAAUCC
rnacentral:tRNA from 1 species